CAGUCAUGCUAGUGAGGAAUCAACCUGAUGGUGUGUGGGUUCUCCCUCGUACUUUCUGGUGCACUUUCUCACCCGGCAAGUUAACAUCAAUUUUGGUUGUCAUAAAAUGAUUGGAGGAAUGUAGCUUCGAUCUCGUAUUGAAGUGUUAUAGCCUUUGGUAGAUGUGACGAUCGGGAUUGGAGGAUUGCAACGGAUACCCCUUCGGGGGCUACCUGUCUGAUCUCUGAUUGUUGCUCUGGUGCUGAAAGCUUGCUAACGGUUAUCAAAGUCGAUGGUC
rnacentral:rRNA from 1 species